rnacentral:rRNA from 1 species
ACGUUAGCGGCGGACGGGUGAGUAACACGUGGGUGACCUACCUAUAGGACUGGGAUAACUCCGGGAAACCGGGGCUAAUACCGGAUAACACAUGAAACCGCAUGGUUUCAUGAUGAAAGACGGUUUUGCUGUCACUUAUAGAUGGACCCGCGGCGUAUUAGCUAGUUGGUAAGGUAACGGCUUACCAAGGCAACGAUACGUAGCCGACCUGAGAGGGUGAUCGGCCACACUGGAACUGAGACACGGUCCAGACUCCUACGGGAGGCAGCAGGA